rnacentral:snoRNA from 1 species
UGCACGCUCCUUAGAUCCAUCUUCGAUUCCAUUAGGAGAUGCUUGAGUCAUUGGCGUGCGAUAAUAUGCAAUACCUUCUCUUUGGUUUUUCGUGAAAUCAACGUGAUGACGUUAUUCACAUUGCUCAGAGAGAGGACAUG